GGGCUUGUGGUUUAGUGGUAUAAUACUCCCUUAGCAGGUACGACCCACCGACGACGAUUUAUCUCACGAUGGCUUCGUUUCUGGGGCUUGUCUAAUAGGUCUGGGAGUGGUCCGGGGUUCGAUUCCCCGCGAGUCCA
rnacentral:tRNA from 1 species